UAGCUCUCAACUCACCAUAUUGAAAUAAAUGCCUCUGGCUUAGCUCUUGGACACUUGUGAGAACCAUACGAUGUGGAAGCUAUGCAGAGUUGCUUCCGGCCUCGUUAUCCGUCGGAGGUACGGCGUGCAGGCGAGGGCCGUGAAGGUGCCAACGGAAGUCGGUGCUGUGGCGGACAACGUACCGGGUGCUGCGGCGGUGGCCACUGACGGCGGGAGGGCAAGGAAAAAGGAAGUGUUUUGGAUGAGAGACCCGAAUACGGGGUGUUGGAUCCCCGAGAACCGCUUCGACGAGGUCGACGCCGUGGAGCUCCGGAACCAGCUGCUCCACCACAACUGACCGAAGAACAUGUCUGAACAAACAUACAAAGUGAAAUGGCAGUACAUCCGUUUCGAAAUAUGAGAUGUUUUACUUAUGUUCUAACAUAAAUAAAAUUAGAGUUAUACUCGUAUAUGUUAGUUGAUUUUUUUCAUAAACAUGAUUAAACUUUAAAAAGUUUAAUUGAGUAUUCCCUCCGUUCCAUAUUAAGUGACGAAAUAUUAUAUGUA